GGGCUGGUCGAAAGACCCUGGUCCACCGAAGGCGGGGGAAUCUCCC
rnacentral:sRNA from 1 species